AAUAUUGGACAAUGGGCGAAAGCCUGAUCCAGCCAUGCCGCGCGUGUGAAGAAGGUCUUCGGAUUGUAAAGCACUUUAAGUUGGGAGGAAGGGUUGUAGGUUCAUACCCUGCAAUUUUGACGCUACCAACAGAAUAUGCACCGGCCACCUUCGGGCCAUCAGCCGCGGUAAUACGAAGGGUCCAACCGUUAUUCGGAAUUACUGGGCGUAAAGCGCGCGUAGUUGGUUCGUUAAGUUGGAAGUGAAAGCCCCGGGCUUAACCUGGGAAUUGCUUUCAAAACUGACGAGCUAGAGUACGGUAGAGGGUAGUGGAAUUUCCUGUGUAGCGGUGAAAUGCGUAGAUAUAGGAAGGAACACCAGUGGCGAAGGCGACCACCUGGGCUAAUACUGACACUGGGGUGCGAAAGCGUGGGGAGCAAACAGG
rnacentral:rRNA from 1 species